rnacentral:rRNA from 1 species
CCCUUAGAUGUUCUGGGCCGCACGCGCGCUACACUGAUGCAUUCAACGAGCCUAUCCUUGACCGACAGGUCCGGGUAAUCUUUGAAUCUGCAUCGUGACGGGGAUAGAUUAUUGCAAUUAUUAAUCUUCAACGAGGAAUGCCUAGUAGGCGCAAGUCAUCAGCUUGCGUCGAUUACGUCCCUGCCCUUUGUACACACCGCCCGUCGCUCCUACCGAUUGGGUGUGCUGGUGAAAUGUUCGGAUCGGCCGUUUGUCGCGGUUUCCGCGUCAUGCGGCUGAGAAGUUCAUUAAACCCUCCCACCUAGAGGAAGGAGAAGUCGUAACA